rnacentral:rRNA from 1 species
CACCGCGGUUAUACGAAAAGCCCAAGUUGAGAGACAUUCGGCGUAAAGGGUGACUAGGGGCCUAUACCAAACUAGAGCUGAAUUUCUUCAAAGCUGUUAUACGCACAUGAAAAAUAGAAAAUCAACUACGAAAGUGGCUCUAACUUUCCCCGACAUCACGAAAGCUAUGGCA